CUCCGUUCUCCUUAUCACUUGGUUUGUAUGUACUAUGCAUUCCUUUAGCUCUGGGAAAGUGGUUAGUUUUACAGAUAGAAAUCUUGUGUCUUUUGUUAACUUGGAAAUAACAAAAUGGAGUCUGCUCUGUUCAAAAGUGACUCAGCAUCUACACUUUUAAUUUCUAUCAUAGCACAAGAUGUCUGCCGAUAUAAAUACUCUGACAUAACCCCCCUUUAGUGCAUUUCGUAGCCAAAAUUAAUUUAGCUUAUGAAUAAGCACUAUAGAAGUU